UCCUUCGAUGUCGGCUCUU
rnacentral:ncRNA from 2 species